rnacentral:rRNA from 1 species
AACACGUGGGCAACCUGCCUGUAAGACUGGGAUAACUUCGGGAAACCGAAGCUAAUACCGGAUAGGAUCUUCUCCUUCAUGGGAGAUGAUUGAAAGAUGGUUUCGGCUAUCACUUACAGAUGGGCCCGCGGCGCAUUAGCUAGUUGGUGAGGUAACGGCUCACCAAGGCAACGAUGCAUAGCCGACCUGAGAGGGUGAUCGGCCACACUGGGACUGAGACACGGCCCAGACUCCUACGGGAGGCAGCAGUAGGGAAUCUUCCGCAAUGGACGAAAGUCUGACGGAGCAACGCCGCGUGAGUGAUGAAGGCUU